AUUGAACGCUGGCGGCAGGCCUAACACAUGCAAGUCGAGCGCCCGGCGGACGGGUGAGUAAUGUAUGGCGGCUGCCCGUGAGAGGGGGAUAACUCCUGGCAACGGUAGCUCAUACCGCAUCCUAUCGGAUAAUCUAUAUGGGAUUAGCUAGUAGGUGAGGUAACGGCCCACCUAGGCGCCGAUCCCUAGCUGGUCUGAGAGGAUGAUCAGCCACACUGGGACUGAGACACGGCCCAGACUCCUACGGAGGCAGCAGUGGGGAAUAUUGGACAAUGGGCGCAAGCCUGAUACAGCCAUGCGGCGUGUAUGAAGAAGGCCCUAGGGUUGUAAAGUACUUUCAGUCGGGAGGCGUUACCGACAGAAGAAGCACCGGCUAACUCCGUGCCAGCAGCCGCGGUAAUAC
rnacentral:rRNA from 1 species